GGCUACACACGUGCUACAAUGGGUAGUACAGAGAGUCGCAAAGCCGCGAGGUGGAGCUAAUCUCAGAAAACUAUUCUUAGUUCGGAUUGUACUCUGCAACUCGAGUACAUGAAGUUGGAAUCGCUAGUAAUCGCGAAUCAGCAAUGUCGCGGUGAAUACGUUCUCGGGUCUUGUACACACCGCCCGUCACACCACGAGAGUUGGUUGCACCUGAAGUAGCAGGCCUAACCGUAAGGAGGGAUGCUCCGAGGGUGUGACUAGCGAUUGGGGUGAAGUCGUAACAAGGUAUCCGUACGGGAACGU
rnacentral:rRNA from 1 species